GCCGGCGUAGCUCAGGUAGUUAGAGCAUCGCACUCAUAAAGCGAAGGUCCCAAGUGCAAGUCUUGGCGUCGGCA
rnacentral:tRNA from 1 species